rnacentral:rRNA from 1 species
AGUGAACGCUGGCGGUAGGCCUAACACAUGCAAGUCGAACGGCAGCACAGUAAGAGCUUGCUCUUACGGGUGGCGAGUGGCGGACGGGUGAGGAAUACUUCGGAAUCUACUUUUUCGUGGGGGAUAACGUAGGGAAACUUACGCUAAUACCGCAUACGACCUACGGGUGAAGGCAGGGGAUCUUCGGACCUUGCGCGAUUGAAUGAGCCGAUGUCGGAUUAGCUAGUUGGCGGGGUAAAGGCCCACCAAGGCGACGAUCCGUAGCUGGUCUGAGAGGAUGAUCAGCCACACUGGAACUGAGACACGGUCCAGACUCCUACGGGAGGCAGCAGUGGGGAAUAUUGGACAAUGGGCGCAAGCCUGAUCCAGCCAUACCGCGUGGGUGAAGAAGGCCUUCGGGUUGUAAAGCCCUUUUGUUGGGAAAGAAAAGCAGCAGGUUAAUACCCCGCUGUUCUGACGGUACCCAAAGAAUAAGCACCGGCUAACUUCGUG